AACGAACGCUGGCGGCAUGCCUAACACAUGCAGGUCGAACGAGACCUUCGGGUCUAGUGGCGCACGGGUGCGUAACGCGUGGGAACCUGCCCUUAGGUUCGGAAUAACUCCCCGAAAGGGGUGCUAAUACCGGAUAAUGUCUUCGGACCAAAGAUUUAUCGCCUUUGGAUGGGCCCGCGUUGGAUUAGCUAGUUGGUAGGGUAAAAGCCUACCAAGGCGACGAUCCAUAGCUGGUCUGAGAGGAUGAUCAGCCACACUGGGACUGGGACACGGCCCAGACUCCUACGGGAGGCAGCAGUGGGGAAUAUUGGACAAUGGGCGAAAGCCUGAUCCAGCAAUGCCGCGUGAGUGAUGAAGGCCUUAGGGUUGUAAAGCUCUUUUACCCGGGAUGAUAAUGACAGUACCGGGAGAAUAAGCUCCGGCUAACUCCGUG
rnacentral:rRNA from 1 species